CUCCUAUCACGAUCGACUUUACUCUGAGCCUCUUCCAGACUUCGUCAAUGUCCGGACUUCUCCAGCAGCAGGACUUCUACAGUAACCAGACUCCAUCCAAGUUUCUACGAUGGUCGAUCACCUUUCGAAUUUCAUCCAAGCUUCUACAAUAAGCAAAUUUCGUUCGAACUUCUGUUGCAAGCGGACUUCAUCCGAGUUUCUACGGUAAUCG
rnacentral:lncRNA from 1 species